GCCAAUUGCCUCUUUUUGGAUGGAGGAAUCCCAAAUGCAUUCUGCUGUGGAGUUAUAGUAAUUCCUCCUUUAAAUUUCAGCACUUCAAAAAACGGGAUCUCCAAAUAAAGAUGAAGUGAGAGAAGUUCAGUGUCCAUUCCCUUGGGACGUGUUUGGUUCACCCAUUUGAGAUUACACUGAGAAUGGAUUAUUGUGUUAUUAUUGGAUUUUGUUUUUUUCUUUUUUU
rnacentral:lncRNA from 1 species